UACGGAGGGGGCAAGCGUUGUUCGGAAUUACUGGGCGUAAAGGGCGCGCAGGCGGCUGCUCAAGUCAGGCGUGAAAGGCCUGGGCUCAACCCGGGAAUUGCGCUUGAGACUGGGCUGGCUUGAGUGCGGGAGAGGAUGGUGGAAUUCCCAGUGUAGAGGUGAAAUUCGUAGAUAUUGGGAAGAACACCGGUGGCGAAGGCGGCCAUCUGGACCGCAACUGACGCGUGAG
rnacentral:rRNA from 1 species